rnacentral:rRNA from 1 species
CGGGGGGGGCGUGGCCUAUACAUGCAGUCGAGCGGACGGAUGGGAGCUUGCUCCCUGAAGUCAGCGGCGGACGGGUGAGUAACACGUGGGCAACCUGCCUGUAAGACUGGGAUAACUCCGGGAAACCGGGGCUAAUACCGGAUAACUCUUUUCCUCACAUGAGGAAAAGCUGAAAGAUGGUUUCGGCUAUCACUUACAGAUGGGCCCGCGGCGCAUUAGCUAGUUGGUGAGGUAACGGCUCACCAAGGCCACGAUGCGUAGCCGACCUGAGAGGGUGAUCGGCCACACUGGGACUGAGACACGGCCCAGACUCCUACGGGAGGCAGCAGUAGGGAAUCUUCCGCAAUGGACGAAAGUCUGACGGAGCAACGCCGCGUGAGUGAUGAAGGUUUUCGGAUCGUAAAACUCUGUUGUCAGGGAAGAACAAGUACCGGAGUAACUGCCGGUACCUUGACGGUACCUGACCAGAAAGCCACGGCUAACUACGUGCCAGCAGCCGCGGUAAU